AAGAGAGAAAAUGUCCUCCUGAACACGCCCAAUCCCAUUUGAUCUCGGAAGCUGAGCAGGGUCAGGCCUGGUUAGAACUUGGGUUGGAGGAAGAGAAAACAAAGUGAUCCAUC
rnacentral:rRNA from 1 species